rnacentral:rRNA from 1 species
AUACGGAGGGUGCAAGCGUUACUCGGAAUCACUGGGCGUAAAGCGCGCGCAGGCGGCCAUUUAAGUUGGAUGUGAAAGCCUACGGCUCAACCGUAGAACUGCAUCCAAAACUAUUUGGCUAGAGUGUGGGAGAGGAAGAUGGAAUUAGUUGUGUAGGGGUAAAAUCCGUAGAGAUAACUAGGAAUACCAAAAGCGAAGGCAAUCUUCUGGAACAUUACUGACGCUGAGGCGCGAAAGCGUGGGGAGCAAACAGGAGUAGAAACCCUAGUAGUCC